CCCCCCGAGGAGCGUUGCAGCGCCCGCCCCGUCCCGUGUUCCGCCGGACGCGGCGGCGUCAGGCUCGGGCUGGAGCUGGCACCGCCCCCCAACGACGCUCACCUGUU
rnacentral:ncRNA from 2 species